rnacentral:rRNA from 1 species
GGCGUACAGCGCGUGUAGGCGGCUGUGCAGGUCGGAUGUGAAAGCUCCCAGGCUAAACCGGGAGAGGUCAUUCGAAACCGGAUAGCUAGAGGAUGGCAGAGGCGUGUAGAAUUCCGGGUGUAGUGGUGUAAUGCGCAGAUAUCCGGAGGAUACCCAGUGGCGAAGGCGGCACGCUGGGCCAUCACUGACGCUGAGACGCGAAAGCAUGGGGGAUCGAACGGGAUUAGAGACCCCGGUAGUCCAUGCCGUAUACGAUGCACACUGGAUGUUCGCGGUCGGAAACGGCUGUGAGUGUCGAAGCUAACGCGAUAAGUGUUCCGCCUGAGGAGUACGGUCGCAAGGCUAAAACUCAAAGGAAUUGACGGGGGCCCGCACAAGCAGCGGAGCGUGUGGUUUAAUUCGAAGAUACGCGUAGAACCUUACCAGGGCUUGACAUCCUGUGAACGAACCAGAAAUGGGACGGUCCCUUCGGGGCACAGUGACAGGUGCUCGCAUGGCUGUCGUCAGCUCGUGCCGUGAGGUGUUCGGUUAAGUCCGCAAACGAGCGCAACCCCUGGUGCUAGUUACAAGUGUCUAGCACGACUGCCCGUGAGAAACGGGAGGAAGGUGGGGAUGACGUCAAGUCAGCAUGGCCUGUAUGUCCAGGUCGACACACACGCUACAAUGGCGCGUACAAUGGGCAGCGACCCCGCGAGGGCAAGCGAAUCUCGUAAAGCGCGUCUCAGUUCGGAU